AACAGGCAGCGUGAAACAGCGCCGUCUCAGAACAGGCAGCGUGAAACAGCGCCGCCUAACGCUUCAACGGCCAGCGCUCCUCGGAGUGCCGGCAAGCGCAUUUUCACUUUUCAAGAAGUAAAAAGUUUCACUAAAGACUUCUCGAGUCCACUCGGAGAAGGUGGUUCUGCGAAUGUGUACAAGGGUACCCUUCCCACCGGGGAAGAGGUGGCAGUGAAGCAACUGACGAGGGGUGGCGGACAGGAGUUCGAGACUGAGGUUGAAAAAUUAAGCCGAGCCCAUCACAAGCAUGUCGUGUCUUUGGUUGGAUACUGCAUAGAGGGGGCCAGCAAAUCGUGGUGUAUGAGUAUGUGCCCAACAACACCUUGAAAUUCCACUUACAUGGUCAUGGAGCCGGACGACGGGACCUAAAUUGGCCAGAAAGACUGAAAAUUGCUUUGGGAUCUGCCAAAGGACUAGCGUAUCUUCACGAGGGUUGUCAUCCUCAGAUCAUACAUCGCGAUAUCAAGGCAACUAACAUACUUUUGGACGGUAAUUUCGAGGCAAAGAUUGCGGAUUUUGGACUUGCAAAAUGUAUUCCUGAAUCAAGGAGUCAUGUGACUACCCAGCCGUGGGGCACCUUUGGGUA